rnacentral:rRNA from 1 species
ACGAAGGGGGCUAGCGUUGUUCGGAAUUACUGGGCGUAAAGCGUACGUAGGCGGAUUUGUAAGUAGGGGGUGAAAUCCCCAGGCUCAACCUGGGAACUGCCUUCUAGACUGCAAGUCUUGAGAUCAGGAGAGGCGAGUGGAAUUCCGAGUGUAGAGGUGAAAUUCGUAGAUAUUCGGAGGAACACCAGUGGCGAAGGCGACUCGCUGGACUGAUACUGACGCUGAGGUACGAAAGCGUGGGGAGCAAACAGGA